UACGUAGGGGGCUAGCGUUGUCCGGAAUCAUUGGGCGUAAAGCGCGUGUAGGCGGUUCGGUAAGUCCGCUGUGAAAGUCGGGGGCUCAACCCUCGGAUGCCGGUGGAUACUGUCGAGCUUGAGUACGGAAGAGGCGAGUGGAAUUCCUGGUGUAGCGGUGAAAUGCGCAGAUAUCGGGAGGAACACCAAUUGCGAAGGCAGCUCGCUGGGACGUUACUGACGCUGAGACGCGAAAGCGUGGGGAGCAAACAGG
rnacentral:rRNA from 1 species